AACAGGAUUAGAUACCCUGGUAGUCCAUGCCGUAAACGUUGGGCACUAGGUGUGGGGGACAUUCCACGUUUUCCGCGCCGUAGCUAACGCAUUAAGUGCCCCGCCUGGGGAGUACGGCCGCAAGGCUAAAACUCAAAGGAAUUGACGGGGGCCCGCACAAGCGGCGGAGCAUGCGGAUUAAUUCGAUGCAACGCGAAGAACCUUACCAAGGCUUGACAUAUACCGGAUCGUUCCAGAGAUGGUUCUUCCCCUUUGGGGUCGGUAUACAGGUGGUGCAUGGUUGUCGUCAGCUCGUGUCGUGAGAUGUUGGGUUAAGUCCCGCAACGAGCGCAACCCUCGUUCCAUGUUGCCAGCACGUGAUGGUGGGGACUCAUGGGAGACUGCCGGGGUCAACUCGGAGGAAGGUGGGGAUGACGUCAAAUCAUCAUGCCCCUUAUGUCUUGGGCUUCACGCAUGCUACAAUGGCCGGUACAAAGGGUUGCGAUACUGUGAGGUGGAGCUAAUCCCAAAAAGCCGGUCUCAGUUCGGAUUGAGGUCUGCAACCCGACCUCAUGAAGUCGGAGUCGCUAGUAAUCGCAGAUCAGCAACGCUGCGGUGAAUACGUUCCCGGGCCUUGUACACACCGCCCGUCAAGUCACGAAAGUCGGUAACACCCGAAGCCGGUGGCCCAACCCUUGUGGAGGGAGCCGUCGAAGGUGGGACUGGCGAUUGGGACUAAGUCGUAACAAGGUAACCGUA
rnacentral:rRNA from 1 species